UGAGGAAUAUUGGUCAAUGGGGGCAACCCUGAACCAGCCAAGUCGCGUGAAGGAUGAAGGUCUUAUGGAUUGUAAACUUCUUUUACACGGGAAUAAAGCGGGGGACGUGUCCCUCUUUGCAUGUACCGUGUGAAUAAGGAUCGGCUAACUCCGUGCCAGCAGCCGCGGUAAUACGGAGGAUCCGAGCGUUAUCCGGAUUUAUUGGGUUUAAAGGGUGCGCAGGCGGGAUGUUAAGUCGGCGGUGAAAUUUUGCAGCUCAACUGUAAAAGUGCCUUCGAUACUGGCCUUCUUGAGUGUGGAUGAAGUAGGCGGAAUUUGUGGUGUAGCGGUGAAAUGCUUAGAUAUCACGAGGAACUCCGAUUGCGCAGGCAGCUUACUAGGCCACAACUGACGCUCAUGCACGAAGGCGUGGGGAUCAAACA
rnacentral:rRNA from 1 species